UACAGAGGGGGCAAGCGUUGUUCGGAAUUACUGGGCGUAAGCGCACGUAGGCGGAUUGUUAAGUCAGAGGUGAAAUCCCGGAGCUCAACUUCGGAACUGCCUUUGAUACUGGCAAUCUCGAGUCCGGAAGAGGUUAGUGGAAUUCCCAGUGUAGAGGUGAAAUUCGUAGAUAUUGGGAAGAACACCAGUGGCGAAGGCGGCUAACUGGUCCGGUACUGACGCUGAGGUGCGAAAGCGUGGGGAGCAAACAGG
rnacentral:rRNA from 1 species